AUUGAACGCUGGCGGCAUGCCUUACACAUGCAAGUCGAACGGCAGCACGGGAGCAAUCCUGGUGGCGAGUGGCGAACGGGUGAGUAAAGUAUCGGAACGUGCCCAGUCGUGGGGGAUAACGUAGCGAAAGUUACGCUAAUACCGCAUACGAUCUAUGGAUGAAAGCGGGGGAUCGCAAGACCUCGCGCGAUUGGAGCGGCCGAUAUCAGAUUAGGUAGUUGGUGGGGUAAAGGCUCACCAAGCCGACGAUCUGUAGCUGGUCUGAGAGGACGACCAGCCACACUGGGACUGAGACACGGCCCAGACUCCUACGGGAGGCAGCAGUGGGGAAUUUUGGACAAUGGGCGAAAGCCUGAUCCAGCCAUGCCGCGUGCAGGAUGAAGGCCUUCGGGUUGUAAACUGCUUUUGUACGGAACGAAAAGGUUUGGGCUAAUAAGCUGAGCCCAUGACGGUACCCAAAGAAUAAGCACCGGCUAACUUCGUGCCAGCAGCCGCCGUAA
rnacentral:rRNA from 1 species